rnacentral:tRNA from 1 species
GCUGGGGUGGCCGAACGGCAAGGCGCAGGUUUGCUAAACCUGUGGGCGUCAGCCCUCGAGGGUUCGAAUCCCUUCCCCAGCG